GUCCGGCAGAAACAAGCUUUAAGGGAGGAUUUAAAGACACUAAGGGAUUCUGCUUGCCUAAUCUGAAGUGGAAAGGAAUUCCAGAGUCUUGGAGCUACAGAAGAAAAUGCCCAUAGAUCACCCAUAGAUAUUAAACAGAGUUUCACGCAGAGUUUCGUCUACAAACGUGUAAUUCUGGACAGGAUCCACGUCCCCGAUUGUCCUCAGAAAUGCUUCUCUCCUAAAUGGGAACAAAUGUAAAAUACGACAGCAGGAAAGCAGAAAAAGAGACUGAACGUUUGCCAAAGCCAGAGCCGGAAAAUACAGAGACAGACAGAGAAAGGAAGAGAUGCAAAGCAAAUGAUUAAAAAGGUCAAAUAUCAACAUUCAGUCUGCAAAGCUUCAAAAGACAAGUGAGUGGAAUCAGUGCAUGGAUAUAGCUUUGAGGUUUGGGAUUCUCUGAUUGGCCAAUUUCAGCACAAAUUCCAGCCCCUUUCAGAAAGAGAGGGAUGAAAUCGAUGGCACGGGUGAUGACCUCUGCCACUGAUGUGAGGACGGAAGUGAUGACCAAGUUGGACGUAAAGUUUAACAUGCAAGAUACAUCACACCUGAUGUUGUAGUUUAAGCAUUUUUAA